UACGGAGGGAGCUAGCGUUAUUCGGAAUUACUGGGCGUAAAGCGCACGUAGGCGGCUUUGUAAGUAAGAGGUGAAAGCCCAGAGCUCAACUCUGGAAUUGCCUUUUAGACUGCAUCGCUUGAAUCAUGGAGAGGUCAGUGGAAUUACGAGUGUAGGGGUGAAAUUCGUAGAUAUUCGGAAGAACAACAGUGGCGAAGGCGGCUGACUGGACAUGUAUUGACGCUGAGGUGCGAAAGCGUGGGGAGCAAACAGG
rnacentral:rRNA from 1 species